GACGAACGCUGGCGGCGUGCUUAACACAUGCAAGUCGAACGGAAAGGCCCUGCUUUUGUGGGGUGCUCGAGUGGCGAACGGGUGAGUAACACGUGAGUAACCUGCCCUUGACUUUGGGAUAACUUCAGGAAACUGGGGCUAAUACCGGAUAGGAGCUCCUGCUGCAUGGUGGGGGUUGGAAAGUUUCGGCGGUUGGGGAUGGACUCGCGGCUUAUCAGCUUGUUGGUGGGGUAGUGGCUUACCAAGGCUUUGACGGGUAGCCGGCCUGAGAGGGUGACCGGCCACAUUGGGACUGAGAUACGGCCCAGACUCCUACGGGAGGCAGCAGGGGGGAAUAUUGCACAAUGGGCGGAAGCCUGAUGCAGCAACGCCGCGUGCGGGAUGCCGGCCUUCGGGUUGUAAACCGCUUUCGCCUGUGACGAAGCGUGAGUGACGGUAAUGGGUAAAGAAGCACCGGCUAACUACGUG
rnacentral:rRNA from 1 species